UUUACCUUGAUGUCAUCUCAUUCUGGGUCUCAAGGGGGUAGGGAACUUAAUGGAACAAGUGAAUAAAUAUAGUUCUGAGAUAACAGUGAAUUCUAAGGUGAUGAUAGGCAAUUAGUUACCAAUUUUAGUGACCUUCAGGUGGGUGGAGGAAUGGAAUGAAAGCCAUGUAAGCCCAGGAUUGGUUAAGCAAACAAACAAUUGAUAUCAGCCAAAUAAAUAUUAAGUCAGAAGUGGUGUUUUGAUCAUGACUGCUUUACCUUGGAUCUUGUUAGGGUUUUGUCUGCCUUGAAUAUGCUAGUAGAAGUAUGCUUUUUUUUUUUUUUUAAGAUUUAUUUAUUUAUUCAUGAGAGACACACAGAGAGAGACAGCCAGAGACACGGGCAGAAGGAGAAGCAGGAUCCUUGCAGGGAGCCCGAUGCGGGACUCAAUUCCAGAUCCCAGGAUCACUCCCUGAGCCAAAGGCAGACACUCAACGUUGAGCCACCCAGGUGCCCCGGAAAGAAGGCAAGAUGAGAUGAAGUGGAACCAUUUGCCUGAGGCUGUGAACACCUACAAAGUAUGCCUUUUGAGAGCACCUCCUCUGGAAAAGCGGAAAGAUAACCAAGAAAAUUAUCCCUGCCCUUGAGGAACCCACACUUCAGUGAGUCAUAUCACCUAACAAGUAAUUAGAAUGGAAAUGCUCAAAGCAGUUGGAUCCAAGAGUCUGAGGCCCCGGGGAACAGUGCGGUUUGGGGCAGUCUUCAGCCUGGUUAGUAGUUAAAACCAUGAGUUCACUCAAAGAGAAUGUAAGAAAUGAAAAAUGCUCAGGAGACACCGGUGUUUAAGGGGUGAAGGUCAGAGAAAUGAGGCCAAGAAGGAACAGUAAUAAUCAACGACGUGCGGAAGAGCUGGAAGAGUGAGCCACUGACGUCAUCGCUACUAGAGCCUGUAUGGAAUACUACUAAUAGUCAAGCAAGGAUCAUUCCUCAUAAGUCGCUAGUGUCACCUACUGUUCUGAGCCUGUUUCAUAUAUUCAUACAUUAAACCCGGGGAGUGAGGCACCGUAUGGCCCUACCUUACACAGAAAACUCUGUGAAAUUCACCUACCCAAGUGCACACAUCUACUAAAAAAUAAAGAUUAGAACCCAAGCAGCCCCCCUUUUUAAAAGAUUUUAUUUAAAAAAAUUAAAAAUAAAAAAUAAAAGAUUUUCUUUAUUUAUUCAUGAGACACACACACACACACACAGAGG